rnacentral:lncRNA from 1 species
AUUAUUAUCCCAUGAUAAGUUAUCCUUGGAAUAAAAUUUGAAUAAGAUACAAUUGCCCUCCAAAUUCUUUUUAGAUUAUAUAUAUACAUAUAUAUAUGUAUGUAUAUAUAUAUAUAUGUAUGUAUAUAUAUAUAUAUAUGUAUGUAUGUGUAACGCCCUAAAAAUCGAGUCCCGAGAAGCCCCACGGUGCUUAGGGUCACAAGUGACCCCAAGCUAACCUUUUCAUAGGUAUAACUCAAAAGCAGCUGAUUUAAAACAUAAUUUUGAGAGAAUGAAGCUGAAAAUAUCUCAAUACAGAAUCUGUUCAAUACAAUAUUGAAAUUACAAGAUGACAAUUCUACUGACACAUAUACAUAUACAAGAAGGAGACUGAAUACAUCAACUACUACUACUGUCUAUGAAGCCUCUACUAGUAUUGCCUGUACAUAAACGGGUCAUGACUCCCAACCAUCCCACUCAAUAUGGCCGACAGAAGAAGGUAUAGUGUCUUUAAACUGAAGCAACCAACACAAGACCUUGAACUAUAAGGACUCCUUUACCUGCUGACCAAAUGCUGCAACUGAAUAGAAUAGUAUAUGAGGGUCAUCACAAAGAGAAUGUACUGAGUAUGUGGGGGUGCAUGCAACACUUUAAAUAACAUCAUCAAUUUCAUGAAAACAUGCAUACAGACAACGAUGACUCACUUGGCUUGAGUUAUAUCAAAUCAUACUCUUCAUACUUUCAUAAUAAAUAGUUCAAAUGGUAAAAUCUCAUAAUCCAUGUAAAUCAUCAAAAAUCAUAAAUUAUGAUAAAUCAUCAUAAAUNNNNNNNNNNNNNNNNNNNNNNNNNNNNNNNNNNNNNNNNNNNNNNNNNNNNNNNNNNNNNNNNNNNNNNNNNNNNNNNNNNNNNNNNNNNNNNNNNNNNNNNNNNNNNNNNNNNNNNNNNNNNNNNNNNNNNNNNNNNNNNNNNGGAGUGACUCGGUAAUUCAAGAAAUAUGACUUUUAUGGACAGGAGAGUUUCCUAUAACCGACAACUCCACGUGAGCUACGUGGAAUACCAACGUUUGAAACCCCCGUUGGCGGGAGCGUCAUAUUCUUUGCCAGGGAGUAUGACCUUAAAACUGUAAUAAUCACAAUCGGGCUCACUGGCCAAUAAUAUCAUCAUCAAACAACCCUAUGGUGGUACAUAGGUUUGGGGAAAUACCAAAUUUCCCUCUCUGUGCUAAGUACUACUCCCCGACAAGCUCAGAACGCGUUAGGAUAUCCACCAUCAUCAUCACAAGGGUCUAUCAUAAAGACCAAAACAAAUAUCUCAAUUUAUAAUUCAUCAACAAUUUGUGGAUUCCUAACCCCAACUUCGACUUAAAACAUUUCAAUCUUUUUUAACAUCAACAAGAUAUCAAUACAUUGAAUCAUAAACGACUCGACAUUUGGACAAGGAUAUGAAGACUUAAUACGUAAUAUUUUCAAUAAUUUAUCAAAAUCAUCCGGAAAAAAAAAACCAAAAUUCAUCUCAACAUCUAUAUCAAAAUCAAUCUUUCUCAUAGUCAAAAUCAUCUCGACUCUGCGAGUUCAAGGUCAAUGUACUCAAAUGAUUAUUCUUUCAAUUCGACAUUUAUAUCAUGACAACAGCUUUUGAAAAGCACUUGAGACCUUCAAUUCAUAAUAAGAAUACAUAUCCCGUAGUACAACUCAAAUCACGACUUUAUCUCGAAAGCCUUUAGAAAUAUCAAUUCAUUGUAGUAGUAUGCAAUUCAUAGCAUAAAUUCUCAAUUUAAGAAGUAGAGUAAUGAAGUAAUCAUGUAUAUCCAUAUUGGAAAAAAAAUUUCAAAGUCCUAUAAAUCCUGCAUAAAGUAAUUUGAGUGUAUACCCAUUUUCGAAUAUCAUGAAAUUUCAAUAAUAGAACUCAACCUUUUUAAAUGUCAAAAUGUAACAAUUUAUCAAGUCAUGACAACAUCAAUAUUUUUCAGAAAAUAUCAAGACUCAUGGUAACAUCUCAAAUGUUAUAUCUCAAUAUGCUCAAUGAUUCAAUGUCGUCAUAAAGAAGCUUUAAGCUUAUCAUAAAUCUCAAAAUCAUUCCAAAAUACCAUUUCAACAUAUAUCUCAAAAUCAUUCAAAAUAAAAAUAUGAAAUUUACAAUUAUAGAUAUCAAGACAUCUCAUGUCUCAAAUAUAUAUUCAAUAAUUCAAAUCGUCAUUGGGAAGCAUAAAGCUUGACACAUAUCUCAAAAUAUUAUUCCAAAAUACCAUCUCGACAUACGUCCCAAAAUCAUUCAAAAUACCACCUCGUGGUAAAAGUGUGUAAUUCGCAAUGAUAAUUAUUAAAUCAUAUCAUGAAAAUAUUGAGAUAAUCAUAUAAAUCAAAGUUUAUUCAUUCAACAAUCAUAAUCUCAUAAUCGAAUUAUCUAGACAUAAUCUCACUUGCAAAAUCAUGUGAAACCAUAACAAAAUUAAAGCUUUGGGCACAAGAACGGAAGAUUGCUCUUGUUCAAAACCCCACAUACCUUGAAAUUGACUUCUUGAUUACAGAAUUUUGUUCGGACAAAUAAUGGGUGCUCCUCGAAGGUCUUGAAGUGAGGAGUUCGUUUAUCGGAUCAAUUUUGGAUUUCUACGGUGAAAUUGAAAGGUAUUUGAAGGUGAAAUUUGGCUAGGGUUUCAUUAUCCCAAAUGUUUCAUGAAAAAAAAUGAAUUUUGAAGGUUCAAUUACGGAUUAAAUGGACAAAUUUUCGUCCAAGAGGGAGGGGGUGUGAAAUGACCAAAUUGCCCUUAAAAGAACAAAUAAUGUCAAAUCUGUCCUUUGGUGGACUGUUUUGUUAGGCUGAAGUAGAUCGACCAUAACGUUUUACUCCGACAUCCAAAUUGGAUGAAACCAAUUUCAUUAGAAAGAGGACUCUUAGAGAUUUCCGUUGAUAUAUAGUAGCUCACCCAUAUCAUUAUGUACAAGGAGUUAUGGUCGUUUGAAGUUGACCCUGAAAUUCGCCUGGCUGCAGUAAUUUUUAAUUUCCUGCACGUUUUACUGUUCACAGUUCGAUCGGAAUGGUCGUACGGAAUGGUCGUAACUCAUCGCUCGAGUGUCCAUUUUUGAUGAUCUAUAUAUCGUUGGAAAGCUUAUUCGAUACUCUACGCAAUGGUAGAUCAACGUCUUAGAAAUACUACACAGAAAAUUUAUGGAUCGCUCUAAAACGUAGAACUCGAUACGUUUCUCACGAAAUCUUUACGAAGAAAUUUUUUUGGGGUAUUACAUUAUCUCCCCCUUGGAAACAUUCGUCCUCGAAUGUAGCUUGAUACGAUAAAAGCACUGAUCAACUGACCUUCUUAAGGGACGCGAACAUCUAAGACAUAUCAGCACGAUUGGAAUUAUAGUUUUCUAGUCCUCAUACUGAACAUGCAUAUCUGACGCAUAAAUAUCUAGCUGAACUGACUCUGGAAUAUAUGAAUGCGUAUGCAACAAUAGACAAUUCAAGGCACAUAAUGAGAACUUGAGCAUGAACUAGAUGUGUUUAAAAUACGAAAGCUUUAAGAAGUCACGGGGUAUCUCCCCCUUGGGACUCCAUGUUCCUCUACAACACUUAUUUCACAGGGUUACUAAGACUGUGCACGGGGCACCUAUGAAUUAGCUCAUAGGCAUGACGCAUGAACAGAGGUAUACUCGUAACUACUGAGAUGCUCCAUAUGGAAAUGAUUUCAUUCCUAAGAUCCUUGGAUAACAUGAUGAAAUGAUAAAUGAGAAGGUACACUAUACGAUUCUGAUUGACCGAGCUGGAAUACUUGAAAAACAAAGAUCGUUUAGUAGAAGUUUACAAAUUGAGGCAUAACUAGCUUCCAGAAUCUGAAACAUGUACACCACAAUCCCUUAAGAUAACCACAUAAAACUUCAACUAACCACAAUAUACAUGAACGCUUAAUCUCAAUCUUACUUCACAUUACCACUUAGCUCAAAAUAAGCAUACACCAUCUAGAGCUUCAAUGCUUUCAGCUCAACUUCGGAAUUUCAAUCUUAGAGUCUAACGCUUAACUCCAAUUUUUCUCAUCAUUCACGAACCACACUACCUCUGUCAUCGCUUAUUAAAAUCACGCUUGUAAACUUAUAUUUCUAAACCAUAAGAAUCAAAAUCACAUCUAAGAAGCUCAACCAUUACAGUCAUACACUAAUCCUCGAAAUUAAAGCAGUCCCAUAAUAUCUUGGGUGAACUUUCUCAUCAUAAACACAACAUCAAACUUAAUCACNNNNNNNNNNNNNNNNNNNNNNNNNNNNNNNNNNNNNNNNNNNNNNNNNNNNNNNNNNNNNNNNNNNNNNNNNNNNNNNCAGUCACCUUCACGAUCACCAAUCAUUCAAACUUAACUUUUAGCACACAAUAUAACUUAAAACUUUUCGCACGAAAUUUCCACUUAGAAACUAUAAAACAAUCCUCAACAAAUGCUAGCCUAUUUAAACUUCAUAACAAUAAUAAUUGGUCAUAAUCAUAUAGCUUAUCUUAUUCACAAUCCAUUAACACAUCCUUCUUUCACCCGUCACUACUAUCUAUCCUCCAUACACAACUUAACUUAGUUCAUAGCUCUAUACGCCUUAACUUAACUUCCUCUUACAACCCGGCAACGGCAUAAUUUAACAACACUCACCCAUCGAGUACUUCUAUUACUAACUUAUACUCUCUGGCAUACAAAUACCGUCAACACCCAUUUCAUACCUUGAACAAACUACAUCACAAAAUUGACACACAAGGAUAUAUCACUCCCUAUUAACCCCAAAUGUAUACAAAAAUAGAUUCCGCUAUACUUAUGCUCAACAAAUCAUACUUACCAUCUUUUUUACUACUACACCUCCAAAUCCCAUAUUUUCAGCCAGCACAAGGAACAAGAUGAACUACAAGUUGCUAGUGGAUCGAAAUAAGCCGCACGCGGCUCCACUAGGCUUUGAAUAUGAGUUUUGAAAAAAAGUUUGAGGUGAAUAACAAAACAGCUGUGCUAGUGAAUCGAAAGAGCCUCACACGAUUUCACUAGACUUUUAUUUUCAACAGCAUGAUGAUAGCAAGAUUACGGGAGAUAGAAACUUGGCAUACCAUAUUGGAUGAUCAAGGAGUACGCAUCUACUCAGUCUUAGCUGAACAAGUCAUAAAGAAGAGGACAUAACAUGAAACUUCAGGAACCUAUAACACACUGAGAGGCUCUUCUGAAGCCACUUUUAUGAGACUUCUGAAACAUUUUGCUAAUCAGUCUGAAAAUAUUAUCAGGAAAAGAACCAAGACUUGUUGCUCAUACUAUCUCAAGAAUAGCACAUAGAAAAGUACAAACUGUCACUUAUAGAUCUUGAAAAGAAAUUUGGUAGCUUAUCUGGUUUAAACUUAUUGCACGAUUCAAGACUUGAAAGAACAGCAACCUUUCCUAAAUGCCUUAUAGCCUCUUGAAGAAAAGUACAGACGUCUCCAUACCAUUCCGCAAGACUCUACUAGACACGGCUUCAUAGACACCCUAGGACACUUGAACUCUAUGCUCUGAUACUAAGUUUGUAACGCCCCAAAAAUCGAGUCCCGAGAUGCCCCACGGUGCUUAGGCUCACAAGUAACCCCAAGCUAACCCUUUCAUAGGUAUAACUCAAAAGCAACUAAUUUAAAACAUAAUUCUGAGAGAGAGCAGCUGAAAAUAUCUACAUCAACCACUACUACUGUCUAUGAAGCCUCUACUAGUAUUGCUUGUAUAUAAACGGGUCAUGAAUCUCAACCAUCCUACUCAAUAUGACCGAUAGAAAAAGGUAUAGUGUCUCUGAACUGAAACAACCAACACAAGACCUUGAACUAUAAGGACUCCUUUACCUGCUGACCAGAUGCUGCAACUGAAUAGAAUAGUAGAUGGGGGUCAACACAAAGAGAAUGUACUAAGUAUGUGGGGGGUUCAUGCAACACUUUAAAUAACAUCAUCAACUUCAUGAAAACAUCCAUACAAACAAUGAUGACUUACUUGGCUUGAGUUAUAUUAAAUCAUACUCUUCAUACUUUCAUAAUAAAUAGUUCAAAUGGUAAAAUCUCAUAAUCCAUGUAAAUCAUCAAAAAUCAUAAAUUAUGAUAAAUCAUCAUAAAUUAUCAUAUCGUCAAAAUUCAUCAUAGGUAAUCAUAAUUCAUCAUAAUAUCUCAACUCUUUGACUCAAAUCUCAGAGUGACUCGGUAAUUUAAGAAACAUGACUUUUAUGGACAGGGGAGUUUCCUAUAACCGACAACCCCACGUAAGCUACGUGGAAUACCAAUGUUUGAAACCCCCAUUGGCGGGAGCGUCAUACUCUUUGCCAGGGAGUACGACCUUAAAACUGCAAUAAUCACAAUCGAGCUCAUUGGCCAAUAACAUCAUCAUCAAACAACCAUACGGUGGUACAUAGGUUUGGGGAAAUACCAAAUUUCCCUCUCGGUGCUAAGUACUACUCCCCGACAAGCUCAUAACGCGUUAGGAGAUCCACCAUCUUCAUCACAAGGGUCUAUCAUAAAGACCAAAAUAAAUAUCUCAAUUUAUAAUUCAUCAACAAUUUGUGGAUUCCUAACCCCAACUUCGACUUAAAACAUUUCAAUCUUUUUUAACAUCAACAAGGUAUCAAUGCAUUGAACCAUAACCAACUCGACAUUUGGACAAGGAUAUGAAGACUCAAUACGUAAUAUUUUCAAUAAUUCAACUCAUUAAAAUCAUUCGAAAAAAAAUACCAAAAUUCAUCUCAACAUCUAUAUCAAAAUCAAUAUUUCUCAUAGUCAAAAUCAUUUCGACUCUGCGAUUUCAAGGUCAAUGUACUCAAAUGAUUAUUCUUUCAAUUCGACAAUUAAAUCAUGACAACAGCUUUUGAAAAACACUUGAGACCUUUAAUUCAUAAUAAGAAUACAUAUCCCGUAGUACAACUCAAAUCACGACUUUUAUCUUGAAAUCGUUUAGAAAUAUCAAUUCAUUAUAGUAGUAUGCAAUUCAUAGCUGAUGUUCCUUCGCCCUGCGUAUUAGAGUCUAGAGCCUCUAUCUGUUCCCCUAUCUCCAUAUUAAUACUAAGACCCAUAUCACCUUGAUGUGCCUCAUCAGGCCCUAUGGAAAUUGAUGGGCCAUCAGUCUGGGCCUGUGAUACUGUUGCCUGCUAUUUCAAUCUCCUAUAAGAGCCUAGACAUGCCAAAUUCCUCAUAGUCCUAGUCUGUGCAGUCGCUGUCACAAUUACCCUCUCGUCUACACCAGGUAUUUUAGGCACAUCGGCCUCAUCUCACAACCUCUGAAUCAUGUGAGGCAAUGGCAGAUUAUUCAACCCUCAAACGCUCUAUCAUGUAAGUCAUACCUGAGGAUGGUAAAAAAAUCAAUAGCAUAACCGGCCAUCAUCCAAGCAACCCGUGCGGCUCCCUCUUAUGUCAACAUAUUAUCCGACGUAGUUGGUAUCAGUCGGUAUCUAAUCUACAAGUACCAAACCUUGGCCUCAAAUAUCAAUAGGCCCUUCUUUAUCACAACAUAACUUUCAAUGCAUGGGGUCGCAUCACCCAAAUGUGAGAUAUAACUAGCUAUCCACCUAGAUAACUCAAUCCUCUCCCAUUAGUGCUCAGCCUCCUACAUGAUAUAUCAAUUAUGUGCGACCCUCAGUCUAUUGUUGCACUCAGUUGUAGAUUCAGGAGUAAUAUAAUCUAGGUUGAAGAUAGCUCUGAGGAUAGUCUCUAUCUAAAUGUCAACUCUGACCCCUCUAAACAACGUAUGCUCAAGUUGUCGCUUCCUAGUAAAUCUCACCAGGCCUAGAUGUCUAUGUAUUUGAAGCACUAUAGUAACUCUAUGGGAUGCAUAGAUUUUUUGUACCAUCGAUAGGCUGUAAGAACCGAAUGGCCUAGUUAUCCACUCUAGCUGAUAUCUAUCAAAUGCUUUCAGAACUGUGGUACUCGAUAUAGCUUCGAUAGGUCAAUCUGGAACUCCUUAUAAAUGCAACUCGUAGGCCUUCUUGCCUCCCAGAUAUGAUUGUCAAUAGUAUAAAUUUCUUGCAUCUCUUCUACACACCACCUCUGAUGUCCCUCCUCGAGAGGUGCAUCUGAGGAAUGUGUGGGAGUAGGUCUCUGCCCUUGCUGUACUGAUUCAUCAUGGGUAGCCUGCUCUAUACCCUCUCCACUCCAGACUGGGGAGACUGGGGUACAUCUGUCUGUUGUACAUGUGUAGUGCUACCCUUCUUAGAUUGGGGAACCACUAUUGGCUCCUUCUGCUCUACCUCAUUGGAUGAAUCUUGGGACCCCUCCUCAGAUUGGGGGACCUGAGCAGCAACCUAUAAAGUAGACUCAGACUCUGUCUCUUCUCCCUUCUCCUCAUUAUCAGGUGGAGGAGUGUGUGGCGGUGAUAUUCUGGCUGACAUCAUUCUCGAUCGGGCUACAACUGAUUGAGUAGCCUAGCGAGUUGUCCUCUCAUGACUCUACUUGUUACCUCAAAUACAACAUGACUAUAUUUCUAUGUCGGGUACUCCUCUACUAAACCACUAGGCUCGAGAGACUCUGCCCUAUCUCCUUAAAGUACCAACCAUCAUUUUCUUCAUAAACUUAGGUGCCAUAUGUACCUGAAAGACCAAUUUUUAGUUUCCAACAAAAGUAAGGGAUAGCAAAAAUCAAAGAAAAACUCAAAAUUCAAAAAACCUAAGUUUCUCCUCAAUUUCCACACCCCUAUAACCUAUUUGAAAUCCCAAAAAGUCCAAUGUGCACACAUCUAUCAAAAAUCACAGCUUUAAAGUAGACAAACAUGCUAAACUAGUGGUAUUACUUUUAUUUAUUCAAGUUCAACUUUUGGUUGAGGCCUAACUUUAGAUUUUACUUCAAAACAAGGCCCUACACUAUGAUUUUAGGAUACUUCAAGGCUCCUACAUACAAGCAUGAUACAUUCUAUAUAUUUUGCAAUGGAAUACACAUAUCAACUUGUUUAAACAAUAGAUAGAUCAAUAUAUAACCAUUAGAAGCCGAGAAAGUUACCUCUUUUAUGAAGAACCGUAAGUGAAUAAUGAAAAAGUCAAGCAAACCAAAGUUAAAACUUGUUUUUAUCAUGUUCAAACAAGUUGGUAUCUCAAAUAAGUGUCAAUUUAGCCUUUACUUCAGUGUGGGGUUAGUUUAUAUUUUAAGAGGAAAGUUUGAAUUCAAAGAGAAAAGUGAAGUUUUAAGGAUUUGAAUGAAUUACUAUGAGCUUAAGGUUGUUUAAAUAUAGGUGGGGGGAUGCUUUAGGUCAUAUAUAAGUGUUGGUAGCCUAAAAGUUUAAAUUAAAAAUUGGUCCCACAAACAACCUACUCGCAGCAGCUACUUGCGGUCCUGCACCUGCGGGUCAGGCUGUAGGCGCAGGUGCUACCUGUGGCCAAUAUGUGUUGGGCCAAAAAUUUAGUUCUACUUUACUGCAAUCUAGACUUGGUAAUUUGAUAUUUUUCUAGCUACUUAUGGUCCCUUAACCUAAGUUUGAGGUCCUAAACGCAAAAUUAGAUGCCAAAGUUCACAAUUUUACACAUUUUUCUAUCCUUAAAAUUUCAACUUUUUGGCUUAUUACUCAACUUAUCGGGUGGUACUUAUGACCAUGAUGGAUUGAUAACAUAGCCCCCUUACCUGCAAAUCGAUGAAUUUAGAAAUCUUUUACUAUAUUUCAGGUAAGUCCAAGGUCUAUAAACCUAGAAAAAAGAAAACAAGAAAAAAAAUGAAUAAUAAUGAUAGGGGAUUGCCUCCCACUCAAUGUUUGAUUUAACAUCGUGACAGGAUGUGACUAUAUUAGUUACUCAUACUUUACCAACAAGACCAUGGGUUGCCUCCCACGCAAUGCUUGAUUUAACGUCAUGAUACGACGCGAGUAUCUUGACUACUCAGAAUUCAUCAAGAUAACCAUAGGAAUAUCCUAAAGGGUCAUCAAUACAAUCAAUCACCAACACUACCCUCAUGUCGUUUGGAUGCUUUAUUGAAUUUCGGAUAUUUAAUAUAGCCUCCUCACUAUUGACUCAGAAUUUCUGCUCACCUUUCUCCAUAUUAACCAUAGCUCUAUCUAUGGCCAUCAACGGUCUUCCCAAUAUAAUGUGCAUCUCAGUGUUAACCUCACAGUCUAGGAUGACAAAGUCAACCAAAAAUAUAAAGUUAUCCACCCUCACAGUUACAUCAAAAGAGAUUCCAUAGGUUUUUUCAUUGUGUGGUCAGCCAUCAAUGGCCACAUCGAAGUUGGUUCUGGAGGGUUCAAGCACAAUUGCUUGAAUAUGGUUGUUGGCAUCAAAUUAAUGCUGGCUCCUAAAUCACACAAGGCUUUGGCAAAUUGGGAUGACCCAAUAGUGCAUGGUAUAAUGAAUGCACUGGGAUCACCCUUUUUCUGUGCCAAAUACCUAGUCCUGACUGCACUACAGAGGUGUAUACCAUAAACAUCCUCAAAUAUCUCUCCUUUUUCCUUGUGACCAAUUGUUUCAUGAACCUGGCAUAUCUAGGCAUUUGCUCUAAUGCUACUAGAAGAGAUAUGUUCAAGCUCAAUUCUUUCAGCAUAUUGAUGAAUUUCUUAAACUUACCUUCCUCUUCUUUUAUUUCAAUAUCUAAGGAAAAGGUAAGGGUGGUCUUGGAAUCUGUCUAAUUUUGGGCUCAAUGAUCGGACCCUUGCCUUUGUCUUCAGUAGUUUUGCCUUUAUCACCUGUUACCUUCUCAGACUUAACAACAGGUGUCUCGUCAUCAGUAGCUUCUGCAGUAGGUCGUAGGGGAUCCAUAGUAGUUUUACCACUACUCGGGUAAUAACAAGUAUAUGACUAUCGUUUUUUAGAUUUUGCAUUGUGUUGCUCGAAAGGGUACCUAGCUGCCUUUGGUUCAGAGUUGCUGACAUUUGCUUAAACUGGUGCUCCAACUGCUUGAUAGCAGUUGUAUGUGACUCGACCUUUUGGGUCAAUCCAGAAAUGUCGGGCUUAAUCUCCUUAAGGAUGAUCUCUUGAUUUUACUAACCCUUCACCAUCUUAGCCAUUUUGGAUUCCGCAUCUCGUCUGACAAGUGGAAUGUACCUAUAUCCCUUUUUUAUAUAGUCAUCUUUCUUUCUCCAGUCACCAUCUCACUCUCUGCUAUGUUAUCUGUAUCUGUCAUAAUAGUUCUGACCUUGGUUCCCUUGCCCUUGUGCUUGGACAGAUAAUUCACUAACUUCUCUAAUUAUAACUCGUAAGCUUUGGAAGAUGACCCUUGUGCUUCUAUUGCAUUACUUUUUAAGAAGUCGCUACUGCAAGUACCCUAAGAUUAGUUCUUAGCAAUGCAAUCUCUUGCAUUACUGUGUCAUCAACUACUUCCUAGUCGCAGUAGGCACCAAUAGUGUAAGUUCCAGAUCCCCUCUCAGCUUCCCGAGUUUGCCACCCUCGAUUAGUGAGCGAGAUCUGAACUAUCAUCUUUGAACCUGCCUCCCAGUAUAGUCUCAUAAAAACUCUUUCAGAUAUGGUGUUUGCCAGGGCUCUGGAGUUGAUGGUCAAGGCUCGGUAGAACAUCUCUAAUAACUGAUGAUUGGGCAUAAUAUUCAGUUUCUUCUUGGACCUGAACCGUGCAUCGUACAUAGAUUCUAACUACAGCUUCCUGAAAUUAUAAACUCAUCCUUAAGCUUCAACAUCCUGGAUGGAGGAAAGAACCUAUUCAAGAAUUGCUUGCACAACUUCAUUCCAUGUAGUGAUAGAGCCUCUUGGCAGUUCCCCUAACCAUAAAGAUGUUUCUCCUGUAAGUGAGAAUAAGAACAACCUCAGUCUGAGUGCUUCCUGAUUCACCCUUGGAUUUGCAAACGAGCUGUACAUCCCAAGAAAAUUGGCAAGGUGCAAGUUUGUAUUAUCUGUUGACAGACCUGCAACCACUUCCUUCAAAUUUAAAAGUUGAAUUAUUGCGCUCGUGAUAUCGAACUUGAUGCCUGGGGAAAAAUAGGAGGAACUAUGAAUCUAGUCUCUACCGGCUCACCAUAUCCCAAGUCUUCUUCAUCAUCUAUUUAUGGCUGCACAUACUGAUAUGUUGGGAUUACUUGAACACGGGCACCUCUAUCUCUAUUCUGUUUUCCACCAAGUGUAGUUCGAUGGUCUGCUGCUUGUCUCUGCUCAGCUAGCUCUGUAUCCUCAGCUGACCACUGAGCUUCUUCUGUUGUCUUCCUCUUGUAUUUAGCUUGAUCUAAUAGCUCACCAGUCUGUCGAAAAACAAUAUCUUAUACUCUUUUAGGAGGAGGGGGAGGUACAACAUCACAAACCCUUUCGGAGGUUCAUCUCUUUUUUGCUCAGACAUCCUACCAGGAGUUUAUAGGAUCCUCUCUGUAUUCAAAUUCAGUGGGAGUAAGGAAUUGCCUCUACUUUGUGUGCUAGGCAUACACCGAUAUAUGCCCUAAUAAUAAAAGCAAAAAAAAAAGAAAAACCAAAAAAUUGCAACAACUUCAAAUCACAAAUCAAUACCGUGUUCCCCGACAACGGCGCCAAAAUUUUGAAGAUGUCCAAACAACACCUCCUAUUAGAUGAUGAUACGAUUGUUGUCAAAAUAUAGUAACCCAAUAUAGGUUGGGGUCGAAUCUCAAGGGAACAAGUGGAAUUGUGGAUCUUAUAAGUUAUAGUCUGCAGGCAGAACAAGAGAUGUAAGUAGGGGCUUUUUGUGUAGUAAUCUCGAGCAAGUAACUAUACUAACAUCGAUUGUAAUCAGUCAUAGGUUGACACUAGGAUUGUGUUAUCCCUGGUUUCUCAACUCUGUAGGCUUAUUGUGCUUUGUUUAACCAACCCGAUACUUUGCAUGCAUAAUCGAUAAUUUAUGUACCUUCUACAGUCUUUUGGAUGAGCAGAAGUGUGGAUCGAUAGUUAAACUCCAAAUUACUAUUGUCUUUAUCUUUUUCUAGUCACUACUCCUCUUUUGAAGUAAGUAGCAAUAUCUAGGCGGGAUUUUAAUGUGUACACCCAUUAAGAAAACUAUUAUAACAAAGAUAAAGCAAUGCAUCCAUAGGUAUUAGUUCAGAACAACAAAAGCACUUCCCUACUUCGUCAAUCCACCAGGCUUUCCACAACCCUAGCUAUGGGUUUUGGCUCCUCAUGCUUGUGAAGAAAUCAAUAGCAUUCAUAAUCGAAAGCAUAGAUGAAAUCACAAUAAAACACACAACCAUAAUUGAAUCAAUGAACCAAAGUCAAUACAAGAGAAUCCCAAGAUCAAAAUCAGAUCUUGGAAUCAAAAUAUGUUUACGAAUAUCAAAAGUGUGUAACUCCUGCUAAAAAUCACAUAAAAGUGUAUUUAUAGUACAAGAGAAAACCAUAAAACCAAAUCCCGAAUGAAAUAGGAGAAAAUAAGGUUGGUGACCAUAUGUGGUUUGUACCAGCACUCUGAUACUAGGUGCAGGUAGCACUUGUGGUCCUGACCUUGGGCAGGUACAGGGUGCAGAUGAAAAAUUCUUGCAAGUUCAGCUCUCGAGAUUUUGGACUUCUGGCACUUGCUUUGCCUACCUACAUUCGUAGGUCCUACAUGCGGUGCACAAGUUGACUUAGUAGGUGCCGAGAGUCAACUUUUCACUCUUCUUCAAUUCUCAAACAUACUUUGACCACGAGCAUGCCGAAAAGUUUUUCGAACAUCCAUAAUGGCUCCAAAAUAACCAAAAACACCCUUUCUUCACCUUUUUCAUGAACUUAUUAUCCAAAACAUGAUUUUCUACAAAAUAUACCCAAAAUUAUCAUAUCUAAGAAAAUAACCUCAGAAACCUACAUAUUUCCCUUUUUAAUCAUCGAGAGUACUAUACUUCUAUAGCACAUCCUUCAACCCACCUUAUAAAACUGGCUUUGCGACGUUGCUAUAUGUAUAACUUAACAAAUUCUGAAACUAUUGUAUAGCAUAAAAGGUUAAUAGAAUGUGUUCUAAUCUUAAAUUGAAAUUUGGGGGUCGUAGAUUCCCCCAGAUGGAUGUAUAAUUGGAACUUGGGGGUCAUGGAUUCUCCUGAGUUAAUGGACAACUGAAAUGACAUAAUUCAAUAAGCUUGCAAGCAUAAUUGAUAAUGCCUAGUGGUAAAAAAUGACACCUUAGUUUAAUGGAUAGGAAUGUGUAAAUGGUUUUAAUUGGGCUUAAUGGGGUUGUGUAGCUCACGCUGAAGGUCUAAGUCUCAGGGAAGACGAAUACCGAAAAUUACAUUUACUGACGUGGGGGUCUUUAUGGUCGUGUGCAUAGUUCAUACUUGAUAUGUUUAUAUCUUAGAUUGGUAUGGGGUCAUGGAUUCCCUGACCUUCUUUGGAUUUCCUGGUUCUUGCGGCUACACGCAUUGGGGCCCUUCCGAUGGGAGGAGUCGGACCUGUUAGCCUAUGGGUGCCUUUAGGUUGGUUGGAGAUACACACUCCAUGAUAAUGUGUUAAAUCUCAUGCUAAGUCCUAUUCCCUAUCUCAACAUUUUAUAUAUCUGUAUAUAUGCAUGUAUGUGAACAUAUACAUUGAGUAUGGACUUGAUUUUUAAAUGACAUUACUUUAUCCCUAUCCCGAGUUACAUGCUAGCGAUCACCUCGCUAACCAUCCUAGGACUCUACAUUGUUUUAUAAUGUAGGGUCCGAGGAUACCAGUUUUGCCCAUGUGCAACGUUAGGUGACUGGGUUAGUCAGUUGGUUCGCGGUGAAUUGGUGAACUUACAUCCUCUGAAAAACUUAGCCAUUCCAUCGAUUUAUUUCCAUAUUAUAGAAUUAAAGAUUUAACAUUAACAUUAUCAAUGUAAUUGUCACUAUCAUGGUCGGGGGAAUGUCUCGAUCUAGUUUGAUAUUCGGAUUGUUUUAGAGGCUUUUGUGAAAACCUAUGGAAUGGGAUAUUUGUUUGGAAUCUUAGAAUCUUUGUCUUGGUGUAUUUAUCCUUUAUAUAUUUGUUUGGAUUGCUUUCACUAUUAUACUGUAUUGUGUUCAGAUUGGCUAGGCUCAGUGGGUGGCUUUUUGUCCUCGGUGGACUUGAGAUACCCGUCACGACUAGGCCCUGAUUUGGGUCGUGACAGUAAGGGUUGUUAAAACUCAAAUGAUUUUUCAUAGAGUUCAAAUGCUUUACAGACAUCACAAAUUAUUUUUAAUUGCCUUGAUAGAUCCUUUCGAAGACAUAAGGAAAAUUCAAGAUACAAAAGAAGGUUGGGGAUGCAGUAUGUGAAUUAUAAUCAAAAUGGUCAGAUAUAGUUUUUUGUGCAAGAGCAUAUUCAAGUGGGAGUGAUUAUCGAUUUUGAGCAACAACUUUCAUUACACCUCACAGUGGAAUAUGAUAAGUAGACGAUGACUACAGUGGUGUAUGCCAAAUAUUAUACUUUAGAGAGUUUAGUCUGUGCGAUGAUUUGUAUGCCAUUGGGUACAAUCUUUCCUUUCCUUGGUUGUAGGGGCAGAGUUGAAUGUCAUUUUAUAUGAUGAAGAAAAAUUGGUGGGCUACCUGUAUAUCCUUACUCAUUUGAGGACUUCAGCUUCUGUAUAAAUUAUUGUGAGUUAUUUGAGAUUAGCGUCACCGGGAACCCUUUUACCUGGUUGAAUGGUAGAGCUGAUGAAGAAUAUAUUUUCAAAACGCUAGACAGAAUCAUGAAUUAGGCAGUAUAGGACAUAUUUGGGAAUAUAAAAUGUAAUAUUUGACUAUAACUGAGUCUGAUCAUGCCCCUUUAAUGCUCAAGGAAAAAUCCAGUAAUUCUCAAAACCUCUUAGGUUUUUAAAGUUCUGAAUAGAAAAAGAUGAUUUUAAAACGUGGUUAGGCAUAUUCGGAGGGCAGAUAAAUAUGGGGAUUGCUUCAAAAGAUUGAAAUACAAGCAGAAGAGAGCUAAAUAUGCACUGUCUAAGUGGAGUAGAGACAUGUUUGGGGAUCUAUUUAAACAACUAAGCAUCAGGGAAGAGAUUGUGAAGUUAAAGGAGGGCCUAUUUGAUGAACAACCAAAUACAACGAAUAUGGCUAUUUUAUAACAUAUACAAGUUGAACUAAAGUAGUAUCUCCACUGCAAGGAGGAAUUUUUCAUACAAAUGACUAGUAUCCAGUGGUUCACUAAAAGGGGAUAAAAAUAUAAAUUUUUUCCAUUGUCUGGUGAAAGAAGAAGAAAGAAAUUACAAUUGAAGAGAAGUUUAAAGCAUGAUGGUACUUGGGCUGAAGGAGAUGAGCAGAUUGCAAAUGAAGCAAUGAACUUUUUCCAAAACCGAUUCUCAGGAGAGCUCUUUACUGACGAAUAUUGUUAUAACAUAUCCCAUCAUUAAUUAUCAAAAAAGAUAAUAUUAUGCUCAUGUAACGCCCCAAAAAUGGGUCCCGAGCUCAAGACUACGAGUAGCCUUAAGCUAGCCUUGUUUGCUUUCUACUAAGUUUGAAUCUCAUAAUAAGGUAAUAUAGAUAUCAAAAUCAUACUAAAAGCGGAAAUUAUCUGAAUGUAAUAUCCGAAAAUAAUGUCUGGAACCUUAAUACUGAAUAAUCUGAAUUAAAACUAGCAGUCUGACAAUCCUCUACUACUCCUAAAUAGAGAGCCACUGGGAUACACCCCCAGUUGACUCGAACUGUCUAAAAAGAAUACUGAAUCAUCUAAGCUGAAAAUCUGAAUAACUAAGUCCCUGAACUAUGAUGACUCACCAACUGUCGGGCUGUAGAUGGAGAUGCUCGAAAUUACUCAUGUUGUUGGAACUGAGCACCUGCACCUACAUUAUGAGAUAAUGUAACACAUAGACGUAUAUGUGGAUCAGUACUUUUAGGAUGUACUGAGUAUAUGACUGCAAGCAUAAUUGAUAAUGCCUAGUGGUAAAAAAAUGACACCUUAGUUUAAUGGAUGGGAAUGUGUAAAUGAUUUUAAUUGAGCUUAAUGGGGUUGUGUAGCUCACGCUGAAGGUCUAAGUCUCAGGGAAGACGAAUACCGAAAAUUACAUUUACUGACGUGGGGGUCUUUAUGGUCGUGUGCAUAGUUCACACUUGAUAUGUUUAUAUCUUAGAUUGGUAUGGGGUCAUGGAUUCCCUGACCUUCUUUGGAUUUCCUGGUUCUUGCGGCUACACGCAUUAGUGCCCUUCCGAUGGGAGGAGCCGGACCUGUUAUCCUGUGGGUGUCUUUAGUUUGGUUGGAGAUACACACUCCACGAUAAUGUGUUAAAUCUCAUGCUAAGCCCUAUUCCCUAUCCCAACAUUUUAUAUAUCUGUAUAUAUGCAUGUAUGUGAACAUGUACAUUGAGUAUGGACUUGAUUUUUAAAUAACAUUACUUUAUUCCUAUCCCGAGUUACAUGCUAGAGAUCUCCUCGCUAACCAUCCUAAGAUGCUAUAUUGUUUUAUAAUGUAUGGUCCGAGGAUACCUCUUUUGCCCAUGUGCAGCGUUAGGUGACCGGGUUCGUCAGUUGGUUCGCGGUGAAGUGGUGAAUUUCCAUCCUCCGAAAAACUUAGCCAUUCCAUCGAUUUAUUUCCAUAUUAUAGAAUUAAAGAGUUCACAUUAACAUUAUCAUUAUAAUUGUCACUAUCAUGGUCAGGGGCAUGUCCCGAUCUAGUUUGAUAUUCGGAUUGUUUUAGAGACUUUUGUGAAAAACUAUGGAUUGGGAUAUUUGUUUGGAAUCGUAGAAUCUUUGUCUUGGUGUAUUUAUCUUUUAUAUGUUUGUUUGGAUUGCUUUCACUAUUAUACUAUAUUGUGUUCAGAUUGGCUAGGCUCAGUGGGUGGCUUUCUGUCCUCGGUGGACUUGAGAUACCCGUCACGACUAGGCCCUGAUUUGGGUCGUGACAGUAAGGGUUGUUAAAACUCAAUUGAUUUUUCAUAGAGUUCAAAUGCUUUACAGACAUCACAAAUUAUUUUUAAUUGCCUUGAUAGAUCCUUUCGAAGACAUAAGGAAAAUUCAAGAUACAAAAGAAGGUUGGGGAUGCAGUAUGUGAAUUAUAAUCAAAAUGGUCAGAUAUAGUUUUUUGUGCAAGAGCAUAUUCAAGUGGGAGUGAUUAUCGAUUUUGAGCAACAACUUUCAUUACACCUCACAGUGGAAUAUGAUAAGUAGACGAUGACUACAGUGGUAUAUUAUACGUUAGAGAGUUUAGUCUGUGCGAUGAUUUGUAUGCCAUUGGGUACAAUCUUUCCUUUCCUUGGUUAUAGGGGCAGAGUUGAAUGUCAUUUUAUAUGAUGAAGAAAAAUUGGUGGGCUACCUGUAUAUCCUUUCACAUUUGAGGACUUCAGCUUCUGUAUAAAUUAUUGUGAGUUAUUUGAGAUUACCGUCACUGGGAACCCUUUCACCUGGUUGAAUGGUAGAGCUGAUGAAGAAUAUAUUUUCAAAACUCUAGAUAGAAUCAUGAUUUAGGCUGUAUAGGACAUAUUUGGGAAUAUAAAAUGUAAUAUUUGGCUAUAACUGAGUCUGAUCAUGCCCCUUUAAUGCUCAAGGAGAAAUUCAGUAAUUCUCAAAACCUCUUAGGUUUUUUAAGUUCUGAAUAGAAAAAGAUGACUUAAAGGAGGGCCUAUUUGAUGAACAACCAAAUGCAACGAAUAUGGCUAUUUUAUAACAUAUACAAAUUGAACUAAAGUAGUAUCUCCACUGUAAGGAGGAAUUUUUCAUACAAAUGGAUAGAAUCCAGUGGUUCACUAAAAGGGGAUAAAAAUAUAAAUUUUUUCCAUUGUCUGGUGAAAGAAGAAGAAAUAAAUUACAAUUGAAGAGAAGUUUAAAGCAUGAUGGUACUUAGGCUGAAGAAGAUGAGCAGAUUGCUAAUGAAGCAAUGAAUUUUUUCCAAAACCGAUUCUCAGGAGAGCUCUUUACUUACGAACAUUGUUAUAACAUAUCCCAUCAUUAAUUAUUAAAAAAGGUAACAUUAUGCUCAUGUAACGCCCCAAAAAUGGGUCCCGAGAUGUCACACCGUGCUCAAGACUACGAGUAGCCUUAAGCUAACCUUGUUAGCCUUCUACCAAGUUUGAAUCUCAUAAUAAGGUAGUAUAGAUAUCAAAAUCAUACUGAAAGCGGAAACUAUCUGAAUUUAAUAUCCGAAAAUAAUGUCUGGAACCUUAAUACUGAAUAAUCUGAAUAAAAACUAGUAGUCUGACAAUCCUCUACUACUAAUAAAUAGAGAGCCAUUGGGAUACACCCCCAGCUGACUCGAACUGUCUAAAAAGAAUGCUGAAUCAUCUAAGCUGAAAAUCUGAAUAACUAAGUCCCCGAACUAUGAUGACUCACCAACUAUCAGACUGUAGAUACUCGAAAUUACUCAUGCUGUUGGAACUGAGCACCUGAACCUACAUUAUGAGACAAUGUAACACAGACGUAUAUGUGGAUUAGUACUUUUAGGAUGUACUGAGUAUAUGGUUGCAAGCAUAAUUGAUAAUGCCUAGUGGUAAAAAAAUGACACCUUAGUUUAAUGGAUGGGAAUGUGUAAAUGGUUUUAAUUGGGCUUAAUGGGGUUGUGUAGCUCAAGCUGAAGGUCUUAGUCUCAGGGAAGAUGAAUACUGAAAAUCACAUUUACCGAUGUGGGGGUCUUUAUGAUCUUGUGCAUAGUUCACACUUGAUAUGUUUAUAUCUUAGAUUGGUAUGGGGUCAUGGAUUCCCUGACCUUCUUUGGAUUUCCUGGUUCUUGCGGUUACACGCAUUGGGGCCCUUCCAAUGGGAGGAGCCGGACCUGUUAGCCUGUGGGUGCCUUUAGGUUGGUUGGAGAUACACACUCCAGGAUAAUGUGUUAAAUCUCAUGUUAAGUCCUAUUUCCUAUCUCAACAUUUUAUAUAUCUGUAUAUAUGCAUGUAUGUGAACAUGUACAUUGAGUAUGGACUUGAUUUUUAAAUAACAUUACUUUAUUCCUAUCUCGAGUUACAUGCUAGCGAUCUCCUUGCUAACCAUCCUAGGACGCUACAUUGUUUUAUAAUGUAGGGUCCGAGGAUACCUCUUUUGCCCAUGUGUAGCUUUUGGUGACCGGGUUCGUCAGUUGGUUCGCGGUGAAGUGGUAAACUUCCAUCCUCCAAAAAACUUAGCCAUUCCAUCGAUUUAUUUCCAUAUUAUAGAAUUAAAGAGUUCACAUUAGCAUUAUCAUUAUAAUUGUCACCAUCAUGGUUGGGGGCAUGUCCCGAUCUAGUUUUAUAUUCAGAUUGUUUUAGAGGCUUUUGUGAAAACCUAUGGAUUGGGAUAUUUGUUUGGAAUCGUAGAAUCUUCGUCUUGGUGUAUUUAUCUUUUAUAUGUUCGUUUGGAUUGCUUUCACUAUUAUACUAUAUUGUGUUCUGAUUGGCUAGGCUUAGUGGGUGGCUUUCUGUCCUCGAUGGACUUGAGAUACCCGUCACAACUAGGCCCUGAUUCAGGUCGUGAUAGUAAGGGUUGUUAAAAUUCAAUUGAUUUUUCAUAGAGUUCAAAUGCUUUACAGACAUCACAAAUUCUUUUUAAUUGCCUUGAUAGAACCUUUCUAAGACAUAAGGAAAUUCAAAGAUACAAAAGAAGGUUGGGGAUGCAGUAUGUGAAUUAUAAUCAAAAUGGUCAGAUAUAGUUUUUUGUGCAAGAGCAUAUUCAAGUGGGAGUGAUUGUCAAUUUUGAGCAACAACUUUCAUUACACCUCACAGUGGAAUAUGAUAAGUAGACGAUGACUACAGUGGUAUAUGCCAAAUAUUAUACUUUAGAGAGUCUAGUCUAUGCGAUGAUUUGUAUGCCAUUGGGUACAAUCUUUCCUUUCCUUGGUUAUAGGGGCAGAGUUGAAUGUCAUUUUAUAUGAUGAAGAAAAAUUGGUGGGCUACCCGUAUAUCCUUAUGCAUUUGAGGACUUUAGCUUAUGUAUAAAUUGUGAGUUUUUUGAGAUUAGUGUCACCGGGAACCCUUUCACCUGGAUGAAUGGUAGAGCUGAUGAAGAAUAUAUUUUCAAAACGCUCGACAGAAUCAUGAAUUAGGCUGUAUAGGACAUAUUUGGGAAUAUAAAAUGUAAUAUUUGACUAUAACUGAGUCUGAUCAUGCCCCUUUAAUGCUCAAGGAGAAAUUCAGUAAUUCUCAAAACCUCUUAGGUUUUUAAAGUUCUGAAUAGAAAAAGAUGAUUUUAAAAAGUGGUUAGGCAUAUUCGGAGGGCAGAUGAAUAUGGGGAUUGCUUCAAAAGAUUGAAAUACAAGCAGAAGAGAGCUAAAUAUGCACUGUCUAAGUGGAGUAGAGACAUCUUUGGGGAUCUAUUUAAACAACUAAGCAUCAGGGAAGAGAUUGUGAAGUUAAAGGAGGGCCUAUUUGAUGACAACCAAGUGCAACGAAUAUGGCUAUUUUAUAGCAUAUACAAGUUGAACAAAAGUAAUAUCUCCACUGUAAGGAGGAAUUUUUCAUACAAAAGGCUAGUAUCCAGUGGUUCACUAAAAGGGGAUAAAAAUAUAAAUUUUUUCCAUUGUCUGGUGAAAGAAGAAGAAAGAAAUUACAAUUGAAGAGAAGUUUAAAGCAUGAUGGUACUUGGGUUGAAGGAGAUGAGCAGAUUGCUAAUGAAGCAAUGAACUUUUUCCAAAACCGAUUCUCAGGAGAGCUCUUUACUGACGAACAUUGUUAUAACAUAUCCCAUCAUUAAUUAUUAAAAAAGAUAACAUUAUGCUCAUGUAACGCCCUAAAAAUGAGUCCCGAGACAUCACACGGUGCUCAAGACUAUGAGUAGCCUUAAACUAACCUUGUCUACCUUCUAUUAAGUUUGAAUCUCAUAAUAAGUAAUAUAGAUAUCAAAAUCAUACUGAAAGCAGAAACUAUCUGAAUGUAAUAUCCGAAAAUAAUGUCUGGAACCUUAAUACUGAAUAAUCUGAAUUAAAACUAUCAAGACUACGAGUAGCCUUAAGCUAACCUUGUCUGCCUUCUACUAAGUUUGAAUCUCAUAAUAAGGUAAUAUAGAUAUCAAAAUCAUACUGAAAACAGAAACUAUUUGAAUGUAAUAUCCGAAAAUAAUGUCUGAAACCUUAAUACUGAAUAAUCUGAAUUAAAACUAGUAGUCUGAUAAUCCUCUACUACUAAUAAUAAAUCGAGGGGCAGAGUAGAAUAACUUUAACAUACAAAUUUGAUGCCUCAAGUUACACAGUUAGAUUCGCUGAACAGAUUCGUAAUUUCUCCUCCAAAGGCUAGAUAGACGGAAAGAAUGAUCCUCAUUUAGAUGACUAUUAGAGAUAUUGUCUUGUUGCUGGAAAAAAGGCCCUCAAUGAUGGAAAACAAAAUUUGGGUCAGGUUAUGGGUUGGUCCAAAUUGGUGGGUCGGGUUAUGGGUUGGUCCAAAUUGGUGGGUCGGGUUAUGGGUUGUAACGGAGGGUAUAUUUGGACCUUUUUGCAAGGUUAAGGGGUAUAUUUGCUCUUAAACUUUAAGAGCGAGAGCAUAUUUGGGCCAAACUUGUAACAGAGGGUAUAUUUGGACCUUUUCGCAAAGUUUAGGAGUAUAUUUGCUCCUAAACUUUAACAGCAAGGGCAUAUUUAGACCAAACUUGUAACGGAGGGUAUAUUUGGACCUUUUUGCAAAGUUAAGAGGUAUAUUUGACCCUUUACCCUUUGUAAAAUAAUGCAUGCCAAAUGUAAAUGACUCACAUAAGCUGGAAUAUCUGAAAUACUGAAAUCUAUAAUCAUGAAUAACAAAUAAUUAGUGAGUCAUAACAUUUAGUUCUAAAAGUCGUACUAGUAUUAUGUCUGUAAAUCAUGCUGCCUAAGUGUAGAAAGGACUCACUUCUGUAUCUGAAAUCUGAAAGCUGAAAUCUAUAGCUAAUAUCUUUUGGUAAAGCAUAAUCUGAAUAAAGUUGUGAGCCUUUACACGUAGUUUUCUAAAAGUUUUUUUAUUACUAGUAGGAAGAAUACUUUAUCUAAAGGGAGGUUCUUCUAACCGACAUAAACCAUGUGAGCUAACAUGGAGUCCAACGUCUUGCUCCCCUAUGGGGAAAACCUCACGAUAGGGAGAGGUGUCAACUCUUGCCAAGGAGUAUAACCUAAUCUAAGUGAUCAUAUAUGUGUCUGUCAUCCAUAUAGAAAUGGGAAUAAUCUGAAUCUGUACCUACGUUGGCUACGUAGUUCUGUGGAAAAUAGGGCACGCUAAUCCCACACUUCUAGCUCAGUGCUAAAUACUACUCCCUUUUAAUCUGUAUGCACAUUCUGUUGGAAAUCCACUUUAAAAGCUAGCAUAAGGGUUAUUACAGAACCAAUUAUGCAUUUAUCUGAUUCAACCUGUGAGUAAAACUAUUCUGAUUUUUGAAAUUUGUAAUAAAUCUGUAAAGUGGAUUCCAAAUCUUAUCUGAGGAUCAAAAGAUCAAGGCUUUUUGAAAAUCUGAAAAUAAACUGAUCAUCUAAUGCUUAAAGCGUGAUCUUUCUUGAAAUAAUAAUAUUCAAUCUAGGGAUGAUAACCUAUGCAUCAAUCUCAUGUCAAAACAUCAUAAUAAUCAUGCUUGGUAAUGAAAACAAUGAUAGUUCAUCUCAAAAUCUGGAAAUUACUGCAAUAGGCAUGAAAAUAUGAAAAUAGUCAUGCAAUUCAACUUCUAAAAAACUUGAAAUCUCUUAAUCUUGCAAUUAGCAAUCCUAAUUCAAAAAACUCAUGUAUAAUCAUUCAAAAUCAUAUAAAUUUAAAAUAAAAGCUUGGUUUUGGGAACAAGGAUAAAAGAGGAUCCUUGUUUAUAAACCCUACAUACCUUAAUUGAUGAAAUUUCUAAGAAAGCUUGAACUUGAAUCUCUAUUUGAGCCUUUGAAGAUGAACUCUUGGUUCUCUUGAUUUGAGAAUCCUCAAUUUUGAGUUUUCUUGGAGAAACAAUGGAGGAAAUUGAUUUCUUGGAGAGUAAGGUUUUGAACUUUAGGGUUUUCCUUUGAGAGAGAAUGGAUGAAAAUAAACAUAAAGUGCUUAGAAUAGACUUAAUUCCUUGUUUUGGACGAAUUGGGGCUUGGGAUUUGACCAAAGUACCCCUCUUAAAAUUUAAUCGGAACUGGAAAAAAGAUAAAUUUUCCGAAUUUGCAUGCCACUGCAACGCUCCACUAUCGCGGUGGAUCAUUGGAAUUUGACAACUGAAAACUGGACAUUCUACGCGACGCGGAGCUAUCGCGGUGCACUACUGAAAUGCCAUUUUGGCCAUCACCGUGACGUGCCACUAUCGCAGUGAGCCACUGGAAAUUGACAAUUGGGAAAUAAGGCUUCACCACGACACGGGCUUAUCGCAGAGGUCCACUUAAACCAAACAAUUGCCAUUUUGCAAGUAACCGCGGCGUGAUGCUUCUCCAGUUGGGAUACUACUUUACUAAAAAUGCCAUAACUUCUCAACCGAGUAUCGGAUUUGGGAGAAAUUGGUAUUGAUGGAAAGCUUAUUCAAUUAUAUACACAAUGGUUUCACAUGUAACAAAAAUUAUUCAUUUUUAAAGCUAGCCUUUGACAUUCUAGGUGUUAAAUUGAGAUGGAAAAGUACGGGGUAUUACAGCCCAACGGAUUACCUACAAAUGUAAAGAUCAGAAGGACAAUAUUUGAGUUAAAUGGUGAUAGUGCAUGUGGUCUUGAUGGUUUCAUUGGUUGAUUCUAUCAGAAUUGUUGGGAUAUUGGUGGGGGAGAUAUUAGUGACAUUGUUCAUGCUUUCAUAAAAGGCUCCACUUUACCUAAAUCAAUUUCUCACACUAAUUUGGCGUUACUGCCUUAGAAAGAUGUCAUUCAUAUAUUUUCAAACCUAAGACCAAUUAGCUUUAAGUAAAUUUUGGAAUAAAGUAAUCUCCAGUCUUUCGUAUGAUAGGAUGGACCUUUUCUUCUAGGCUGAUUUCACAUUUCGCAGAACCAAUCAAACUUUGUGAAUGGAAGGAGCAUCACUAAAAAUAUUUUAUUAGCUCAAGAGAUUAUUUCUAAUAUUAGAAAAAAAGGAAACCAACAAAUAUAGUCAUUAGGCUUGACAUGGUAAAGACUUAUGACAAAGUUGAAUGGAAAUUUUUGAUUAAAGUCUUGGAAAAAAUAGGUUUAAUAAAAUAAUUAUGGAUAAGAUUUGGAGAAUUGUGGCUGAUAAUUGGUAUUCUAUUCUAAUUGUUGGACAAGCUCGUAAUUUUUUCCAUUCCACCGAAGGUGUCAAAUAAGGGGAUCCUUUAUCCCCUUUAUUAUUUAUUUUGUCUGUUGACGUGUUAUCUAAAACCACGAAUCAACUAUUUUAUAGUAGAGAAUUCAAGGGUAUUGGAAUACAUAAAUGGAGUGAAAGUUUAAAUCACAUGACCUAUGUUGAUGACAUGAGAAAGUCAUUACAAUUAAAUUUGAAGGUUUUGGAUCAAUAUUAAAUGUAGUCAAGUCAGAAAAUCAACUAAGAAAAACAUUUUUUCUUUAUGUAUAGGUAGGCUGCAACUAAUGUUGUCCAAGAAGUGGAGGUUGUAACUAGUUUUAUAGGGGUAAAUUCCCAAUGAUGUAUUUGGGGUUUCCUAUUGGUCAUGCAAGAAGCAAGACUUUGUUGAACUUAUCAAGAAGAUGCAGAAUAACUGAAUGUAUGGAAAGGUAAGUUACUAUCAUUUGGUGGAAAAUCUGUCCUAAUAAACCAUGUUUCUUCGAGAGUAUCCCUAUCGAGUUAUUGUCUGCUAUCAUUUAUCCUAAAUGUGUAUUGAAGAUUCCAUAGAAUCUUUUCUAAGUUUUUAUGGAAUUUUAUGAAAGAAGAAAAGGCAAAGAACCGAGUGUCAUAGCAGAAUAUCUAUCUUCCCUAAAUUAAAGGUGGUUUAGGUUUUAGAUAUCUUUAUGAUGUGUCAGAGGCUUUAUUUGCUAAAUUGUGGAGGAUUUUUAGGACUAAGUCCUUAUGGGCCAAUUUUAUAAGGAACAAAUAUUGGAAAAGGCUUCUCAAAUAUGGAAACAUAUGCUAUAUAAUGACCCUUAGGUUAUUUUCUGUAUUUCCAUACUAUUGCAAUGUCUAGAGGUUUUCCAUAGUUUCCUCAAGUUAUUUAUGACUUGCUGGAGAUGACAAUUUAGUUACUGGAGAGUUCGUUAAGUUUUUAGAGUCAAUUCCCUAUUUUGAAGUUCUCACUGUUGAGAAUUGGUUAUCGGGCUUAAACUUUAGGUUAACAUCGUCAUAUACCAAUUCUAAUAGUUUUGCUAGAUCUAAAAUGUUGAUUUUAGGCUUGGGGGACCUUUGGUUUGGGUCCUAAGGAUUUCAAACUCGUGUUAGGCUAUUGGGUGGAUUUUGGUUAAAAUAGUCAUUGAGUGUGCGAUCCACAUUUUAUUGAAAUGAACUCAGCUGGAAAUUUUGAUGGCACAGUUGAGAGAAUAUUGAUUUUGGUAGGGUAGCAUAGCUCAUUUGCAUUCACAUAAUUCUGAAUGAAUCCUGAAGGUCCACUCAGAAACUUGACAAAUACCAAGUGUAGUUGGUGCAGCAUCAGCUGGUGCAGCGCAAAAAUAGCCUUCACAUUCAUGAUGGCCAUGGAAAAUUGGCUACCACAAUCAUGAUGACCUUGGCCGCAUCUGCGAAGGCCAAGUUUACUAGCCAUCGCAUUUGCGAGCUUGCCUUCGCAUUCACAAAGAGUAUUCUCUGGGUCGAACUAGGCAUUCUUUCUUGAGAUCGAGGUGGACCGGCCGUGUUCGUGAAGGGUAAGUUGGAUUGAGCCCUGCAUUUGCAGAGGGGUCCUCACCUUCACGAUGAAGGGACCCCAAGCAGUAUAUAUGCUGCCAAACCCAAUUUUUCUCCCAUUUUCAAGUCUCAACUUCCAUUAAUAUCCCUAGAGAGCUAAGAGAGUGAGAGGAUCGAUACAUGGGUGUUUAGGGUGAGUUAGAGAGUUUGGGGGAUGUUUUUCCAUCAAGAAUUAUUGUAAAUUUUCUUAUAUUUCUUAUUUAAGUCUCUACUUUAAUCUCGAAAUCCCUAACACUUUGUGGGCUGAUUUGAGGGAGCAAUUUUGCUCGUAUUCAUCAUUUUUUUAGGAUAAAUGAUCCUUGAGCCUAGAAGAGCGUUUUGGCGGUUUCAAAGUUGUGAUCUUGCAACUAGCCCCACAUGGGAUUUUUAGCUCAAUUUCGGAACCAAAGAAUUUAUAUGCAAUAUGGGUAUUUUUAUUCUUGUAUUAAUGUGUAUAUCAUUAUUUUGAUAGUGUAGCAUCGUACAAAGGCUUCCUGGAAGGUAAAAUCUCUAAUUUAGUGGAUUUUCUUGGGCAUUCUUCGAUGUACAGGUAGGUUAGGCUUACUUUUCUCAUAUAUUGAGCUAUAUUAUUGUACUGGUGUGGUCUUAUGCUAGAUUUGGGUUGGAAAUUAUGACUUGAUUGUAUGUUUAGCGAAAUUUGGAAUAUUUAGCCGAUUAGUGAAUCGUGUUUAGGUAGAAUUGACCUGUUCAUCCUUUCCUUGGAUUAAACUAAGACAUUAGGACAUAUUGGACUUAUUUUACUCCUUGUAGUAGGUCUUGGAAGCCUUAGUCUAGUUUUUGGUAGAAAUUGUCUUAGUAUGAAUUUUUGGGUUUUAGUAGCGGGCUCCGUCGACCCUCUUUAAGGUCAAACAUCUGAAGUAGCUCCCGAUAGAUCUAGGAGGCCUUCUCUCAUUAUUAUAUAAAUAUUCUUGGACCCUAAGAUGAUUUAGUCAAUUUUCAAUUAUCGACUAGAUUUAGUAACCUGUAUUUACUUUAAAGACUGGUUCGAGCCCAACACUUACUAUUCAUUUAUGAUGCUUAAAGACCAAUUUGAGUUUGACAUAUAUUAAUCACUUAUUAUAUAAAAGUUUGGUUUGAGUUUGACAAUUAUGGUUCACUUAUGAUGACUAGGGAUCCGGUUCGAGUCCAAUGUUUGUUGUAUGAAAGGAUUAACAGAUAUGGUUUUGGUGGCCAAUUACUUUAUAAUUACUAUUGUUUUUAUUUUUCCCUUAAUUACGUCCAUUGAGCUUAUGGAGACUCGUUUGGAUUAUCCUUCUCUUGUUUGCGCCUUCUAGGCUUAUGGGGGUCAAGUUAGGCUAUAGUUGACUUGUAUUCUUUUGAUAUUAUCUAUUGUAUUAUUUAUUAUCUAUCAGCUGGAGUGUUGUUUCAGGUUUUCCCUUUUUAUCCCUGACUUUAUUUUACAUUCACGCAUUUUAUUAUGCUUUUAUUAUGAUUUAGCUUAGUUGACUGAUAUGCCUACUGGGUACCCAUUGGUUUUGUACUCCUACUAUGCUUCUGCAUCUUUUUCUAAUACAGAUCCAAGUACUAGCUAUCACCACUGACAUUCUAUCCAGCACAAUCUAGAGUUCGAUGAUAGGGUGAGCUUUUGGAGUCGGAGUUGAUUCUCUCUCCUUAUGUUAGUUUUGGAAAAUCUUUUUGACACUAUUUGUAUAUUGACAUUAUUCAUUCUCUUAUUCUUUUGAUUAGUGACUCUUACCGACCUUACUAGGUCGUGAGAUACUUUUUUGCUCUUUCUCUCUCUUAUUUAUAUAUAUGCCAUCCUUUUAAUAUUAUAUCGCCUACAAUCUAUUUGUAUGCUUAAUUCUCAAUAGUCAUCAUACCUUCCACCAAAUAGCCUAUUAUUUGUCAUUCUGAGUUGUGAUUUGGCUUACCUACUGGUUGGUUAAUGUAAUACCCCAAACUUUUUCAAGCUUAAAUUCAUUCAUAGAAUGUUAUGGGAUAUCUUCCAAAAUGAUUAAUAUUUGUUUCGCAUAGAAUUUUCUAGAUUUCAACUUUUCAUCAUGUGGGAAAUUAAAUAAGCUUUCCAUCGAUAUCAAAUUUGCCCAAAUCCGACACUCGGUGAAGAAGUUAGAGCACUUUUAAGUUGACAGCGUGCCAACUAGGCAGUCACCGCGUCGCGGUGAAGGACAAUUUCAUAAUCUUCACUUACCAGUGGACCACCGCGAUGUUGGCACGUCGCGGCGAGGUCCAAAUUCCCAUUUGUUAAUUUCCAGUGGACCUCUGUGAUAUUGGUGCGUCGCGGAGAGGUCCAUUUUUCCAAUUGUAGAAUUCCGUAGCCUAACGCGAUAGGGGCGUAUCGCACCGAAGGCCAAAAUGGCAUUUCUAUAGGGCACCGCAAUGGUGGCGCAUCGCGUUGAAGUUUCAGGUCCCAAUUGUCAAAACCUAGUGGGACAGCGCAAUAGCUCCGCAUCGCGGUGGACCCCAAUUUCCCAUUCGUCAGUUUUCAGUGAGCCAGCGCGAUAGUGGCACAUCGCGGUGGCCUAUUAAAUCGGGACCCAGUUACGUUUUUUUUUUCAGUUUCGUUUAGAAGUGAAAAAGGGCAUUUUGGACUUUUUCCCAGCACCCAAUUCCAUCUAAACACAAGAUUUAGGGCUAUUACAAACAUCUUAUGGUAUAUUUCUCAAGAUUUCUCUCAACUAAAAACCCUAAGCUUCAACAAUCAACCUCAAGAAUCUCAAGAUUCCACCAUCCUUUUUCCAAAUUAAUUCAAGAUUCCCAACACAAGAAUUCCAAGAACCAUAAUUCAAGAGUACAAAUAGAGUCUCAAAAGCAAGGUUGUUCAUCUAGUUCAACAUCCAAGGUAUGUGGGGUUUGAACAAGGACAAGUCUUUCGUUCUUGUGCCCAAAAAACUUGAAUUUUAUUAAAGAUUACAUGAUUUACAAGUUGGGGUUUAUACCCAAAGCAUCUUGUUUUAAGUUUAUGAAGAUAUAAGUGAUUUAAGCCUUGAAUUGCAUAUUUAUCCCACCUAUUUAUGCUUUGAAUUGAGGAUUUAUAUCAUGAAUUGCACAUUCCCAUUGUGAAUUGAUAUUUUCAAGUGUUUCCAAGAUAAUUGUUGAGAAUUAAGCUUCAUUAUGAAAUUGUGAUCAUUUAAGUACAUAUGCUUUAAACCCAAGUAAGAAUUUUGAUAUUUCAUGAAGAGUAUAUUGUUAGCAUGCUUUAACAAGCAAGCAUUCAGAUUUUAAAGAAAGAUUGAUCUUCCGAACCUAAGCUAAGAUAGGAAUCCACAUUAUUUAUGAUUUAAAGCAAAGAGAACUAUAAUUGGUUUUCAUUAUAAACCCUUGUGCUGUUUUAAGGUGAAUUUCCUAAAAGUUCUGAGCAAUAAGUAUGGGAGUAGUAUUUAGCACUGAGUUGGGUAUGAUUCCAAGGUCUCAUUCCCCAAAACUACGAGCCACGUUGGUUCUAAACGCCCAUAGUAGGCUAAGAUAGUGAUCACUAAAGUUAAGGUUCUAUUCCGAUGGCAAGGGUAGAACAGCUCUCUCCAAUGUGGGCAAGACGUUAGACUCCAUGUCAGCUCACAUGGUUUAUGUCGGUUAGAAGAAACUCCCUGAGUCCCAAAGUCCCUAAGUCCCAAAGUUCCAAGAUUUCCAAAGCUCCCAAAGCUUAUGAGUUUCAAAAGAAAAGAAUGAUAGAAAAACUUUUAUAAGACUAAGUGUUAUGACUCACUAGAUUCACAAGUAUGAUUUGUUAUACAUGAUUUUAUAUUUUGAUAUUUUAGAUAAUCAAGCUUAUGUGAGUCAUAUACAUCCACAUGCAUUUACUUUCUAAUUAUGAUGAUGUUUACUUAUGCAUUACACCCUAUAUACUCAGUACAUCCUUAAAGUGCUGAUCCACAUAUAUGUCUAUGAGCUACAUUGUCUUAUAAUGUAGGUUCAGGUGCUCAGUAUCAUCAACGUGAGUAGUUCAAGCAUCUCUAUCUACGCUCCCACAGUUGGUGAGUCCUCAUGAUUUGAGGGCCUACUUUUUCAGAUUUCCAGCUUUCAUAGUAAUUGAGUUAUCAUUUUAAGUUUAGACCGACUCAGUUGGGGGUCUGUCCCAAUGGCUCUCUAGUUCUUUAGUAGUAAAGGCUCGUCGGACUACGAGUUUAAUUACAGACUUUUAGUAUUUGUUAUUCAGACAGUACGUACGUUUAUUCAGUUCAGUUUUUGGUAUAAUAUAAUAUUAUUUCUUGAUUAGAUUAUCUUAAAGUAAGGUUCAGAUCUAGUAGCAGGCUCAAAGGGUUAGCUUGGGACUAUUCAUAGCCUUGAGCACCGUGGGACGUCUUGGGAUUAGAUUUUGGGGCGUUACAGUUAAAGAGGUGCCAUUAUGACCUGACAAACUAGGUCCUGACAUGCUAUCAGCUAGAGACAGUGUUGAUCAGGAGAUUUAGUGAAAACCUAGAUGUGGUCAUUCUAGCAUUUGGUUUGACAAUUGGACGCAAUUAGGAGAUCUUCCGUAUUACUUCCCUAUUAAUCACAACAUUGAUGAGAACUUUGAUGAUAUGAGUUAACUACUAAAUCAAGAAAGUUGGAAUGAAGAAUUAAUGAUGGAUAUUCUUAAUGAAGAUGUUUGUAAUCAGGCGAGACAAGUGAUUAGGGUAAUUCAUAAUAGGGAUGACUGGGAUAAGGCAUGGUGGAUGCUAAGCAGUAUAGGAAAGUUUUCUGUUAAAUAUACGUGGGAGUUACUUAGACAGAGAAGACCACCUCUAGAUUUGAUCACCUCUAGAGUUGACCAUGAUUUUUUGGGAAUCAGGAAUCCCUUUCAUAGUCUCUUUCCUUACUUGAAGUCUUUGGAAGAAAAGGAUUCCUAUUGGAGAGGUUUUAGUGAAAAUAAAAGUGGUUAAAGAUAUGGUUUGUUGUUAAUACAACAAUAGUGAGCAUGAAACUUUUGACCACUUGUUCAUGAAGUGUCUAGAUUCAAACUACUCAUGGAGUAUAUUUGCAGGACCUGUAGGAGUACCUAGUCCUUUUGUGAUGUGGUGGAGUGCAGACACUAGUGCAAAACUGAAGCCUUUGUACUAGGUUGUUCCCAUUUUUAUUGUCUGACAGGUAUGAAAAAGAAGGAAUAGGAUUAGAAAUGGAGGAAGAAUGUAAACGACUAGCUUUUUGAUGAAAUAUGUGAAUUGUGUGUUUUUGUGUAAUUUGAUUGUUUCACCCCUCCCCAUAACUGUAUUAUGGUAUUUUUGGGAUGUAGGGGGUGAUUGGCAUGGUUCUCGAUGCAUUUUGGUACCAUUUAUGUAUAUUGUGGUUUUUGAUGACUUCCAAAGCUUUAUUUUAAACUUAUGUGGAUAUCUUUUGAUCUGUACGAUGGAUGGCUGAACGAACUACGCCAACAACUCCAGAAUAUUAAUUUUAGGCUAGGUAGACCUUUGGUUUGGGUCCUAGUGCAUUCAAGUUCAUUUCGACCUAUUGGUCAGAAAGUUGAAAAAUUGAAAAUAUGGGUGUGGGACCCACGUUUGGUCAAAACAACCUCAGAUAAAAAAUCUAACUUUUCCAGUAGAUUCAAAACGUCGAUUAUAGGGUGAUAACAUAUUUGAUGUGAUUUUACGGCUUUUCAAUCUCAUUUUGACCCUCGAUUUGGAAAAUUAUAAUUUCGGAUUUCGGUUGUCAACUAUGUGAAAAUGAUAUUUUUUUGAAAAUCUGAAAUCACCAUUGAAUUUGGAGAGUCAAAUUUAGUGUGGUUACAUAGUUUGUUUAUUUAUAUUAGACUCCGAACGAAUUCUGAGCACCCCAUCGAAGUUUGUCCGGACUUAUAAAAAAAUUGGUGUAGAUUUUUCUGCAUUAUUAAUAGCAGUUUUCAAGCCCAUUUUGUUCAUUUUUCAUCUGGCCUCUUGAGAGUUAAACCCUAAAAAUAGUGUGGGAGCUUAAAAGUGAAGCUUGUGGAAGCUUGGGAAGCAAGAUUAACAUCUAUUUCUUGAUUCUAUUACGGAUUUAAGGUAAGAAUUCAACAUAUUCUUAGUCAUUUCUUGAUUAAUUUCUCAACACCUCAAAAAUCUUAGGGCUUGAUUUUAAACCUCAAUUUCACUCCUUUUUCACUUGAAUAAUAUUUUAAUCUUAUAAUUAUGAGUGUUUCAUCAAUUUAACAUUCAAAACAAUUCCAAUUCUUAGUUUUCACCCGAAUUUCAAAGAUUUUAUCUAGUACAACUUAAAAAUAGUUUUUCUUUGAUUUUAACCUUAUUUUUGACUCGAUUUGACUUGAAUUUUCAUAUGUAGGAUCCUACAAAUAUGGGAAACACGUUUUUGAAGUAAAGUUAUGAUUUUGCUCUUCUUUUUCAAAAAUCCAUUUCGGGGAGUUUGUUUUGACCCCGAACCAAAAAAAUUACUCAAUAUGGGUGUCGUUGAUUUUGUUUUGAUGCGUAGAUUCCAUAUUUGAUGUUUUUAGUGAAGCUCGGUACCAUUUGUGAGGAGUAAAACUUUGGGAGCAAAGUCUUGAUUCCGAUAUUUUAGUUUUUGAGGUAGGUUAUGACUUAACUCUUUCAGACUGGGCUAGUAGUAAAUGAUGGUAGAAAAUACAUGUUGAGGCUGAGAACUAAUCAUGAAAAAUGGGUAUCUAUGUGUGUUUCCAUGUGGGGGCCUAUAUGUAAUGUAAUUGUUGAAAUUAAGAUAUUAUGUGAUAGUGUGAUCGUGUGCGAUCCUAUGUGAUGUAGAUAGCCUUAAAUAUAUAUGAAUAAUUGUAUUGUGUUGUUGAAAUGUCUAAUGUGAUGUCAUUGGUGUAUUGAGAUAUAUUCAUACUUGUUAUAUGAGACGUGUAAAUUCAUGGAUGAAACAAAAAUAAUAAGUGAAUUAUUGGCUCAUGUGGUUGUGGAAAUGUAUAAUUAUGGUUGGUUGUGGAAAUAUAUUAUUGUGGCUGGUUAUGAAAAUACUCAUUGUGAUUGGUUGUGGUCAUUACAUCUUCAUAUCAUACUCAUUCAUGAAACAUUGGUACCACCAUGGCAACAUCUGAAAAACACUGACAAUACCUUUAAUAAAACCCUCCCCAAGGGAAGUGCUGGGAGGAGAUAUUGCAACACCUUAUAAAACUCUUUCCGAGAGACAUGUCAAAAAGUUCAUAUGAGAUAUGUGGAUUGUAUACGGAUUGACGAACUCCCCAUGGGUCCUAUCCUACAUCGAGAAGCUUUAGUUCCGUAGGUGUAUACAGGGAUUGUGCGACGAUCCCGGAGGUUGUGCAACGACCUCGUGCAUCAUCAUCAUUAUCAUAUACAUUGUACUUACUUUAUUAUGUUUAUGUUGUUUUGUAUUGCCAUAUUGACUUGUCAUCUAUGUAUUUCUCUUACCUUCCUUUACUUAUAUUUGAUGAUCUUGUAUCCACAUGUUCUCCUUUGUUCUACUUAUAUGUGGCAUAAUGCAUUCUUGUGUUCUAUCUUGGUGUGUUAUUGUAAUAUAGGUGAUAUAUUAGAACUGUUAGUGUAACCGGUGUAAGCUAUCGUUGUGAGAUAUUUUCUGAUUACAGAUGACAUACCCUUAGUGUGUAUUUUGUAUGCUUCAUUUUUUCUACUUUGCUUGGUUGGUCUAUGAUACCUACUUAGUAUAAGUGGACCGUACUCACUCCUACUUCAUCCUUUUGGUGCACCUUUAGGUUCGAGUGCGCCUUAGACUAGUUAAUUUUUGGGCACCUUCAGAUUACUCAAGGUAGCGGUUGGACAUUCAUACGUCCGUAGUUCACCUCUAUCUUUCUAUAUUAGUUAUGUCUUUAUUAGUAUUUGGAGACAGAUAUUAUUCCUUUGUGGUUAUUUUUCUGAUGUAUUUGACUCCUGGAUAGUAUUAGUAGUUCUUACACCAUUGACAACAGGUUUUGGGAGUUAUGGCUGCAUGUGUUGAUUUUAUUUUUUCCACUUGUAUUAUAUCUAUAUGGUUCAGCUUUAUUCUAGAAGCCUUAUCUUGGGGGGCAUUUCUAUUUUUUUUUGUGUGUAUCAGUUUGGGUGAGACUUACUUGUCAAGGUUCGCCGCGACAAGUGCCAUCAUGACCCUUAUUUUUGGGUCGUGACAAGGAAUGUUAAAACAUGACAUGGUUAUGGAGAUUAACAGGAAUCUGUAUAUGUUUCCAAAAUUAGAUUCCCUUGGCUUAAGGAAAUCCCUGAUUCAUGGCCAAUGAUAGUUAAAAUGUUUGAAGAGUACACCCUCAUUGUUUCUUGCAAAAUUGUCUGACGGAAACAUCCGUAAAGGGAUUACAAAUGUAAUUUAGAUGGGGCAUAAAUAGAAUUCUGGGCCUUAUGCUAGUGGCUUUUGCAUAAAAAAUAAAGAUGAAGACUUUAUUUAUGCUGCAUCAAACACAGUUAAAGAGGGGUCUGGACUAGAAGCUGAGGUGAAAGCUAUGAGAUUAGCCCGGGAGUUUUGUAUAGGCAAAAAUCUGUUACCUCUGACCAUGGAAAUAUAUUCCCUCAUAAUCAAUAAGAUUCUUGAUGGUAUAUGAGAGAUGCCCUGGACAAUUACCAUAGAGAUAAUAAGGAUAAAACAAUUGAUGGAGAAUAAUUUGGAGGAUGUGGAGCAUACAUUUCGAGAAGGCAAUAAAUUGACCGAUUUUUUCACUAACAUUAUUUUUAGUUUUGCAGGUACAAAUAACAUACAAUUUAGCUCAAUACAGGAGGUUCUGGAAUAAGAAAGGAAAAUCAUAAAUUUAGAGAAAAACAAAACUACAUAUUUAAGGAUAAGGAAACGUCACAACAGGUGUUUCAAUCAACCACAGGGACAAACACAAUCACACAAGCAGAUUGAUUUAAACAUACAAAUAACCAGCUGAAGUGGGCUAUAAUAAAAAUGAACUGAGAAAGUAGGAAGAAAGGACUUGCCCUUUAGCUCUGAGCCUUUUGCAGAGGUAUUAGCUUCAAGGAGAUCAUUUUGCAAAGGGUAAGGAAAUGAAAAAAAAAUCAAUCAAAAAAGCAUUUCAUACCAAAUUAUGGGAAUUGGAAUUUGACUUUACCUCAUCGUGAAGAGCUGGAAUACUGGUAAUGAGCUGAAGAAGUCUUCAACGAGUUGAAUUCAUGGCGCCUGUGAGAAUUUGUUGGGUGUUUAAGUUAACAUCAGUCAAUCACACUGAUGAUAUAAACCGUCUUCUACGAGAUGAUAAGAUCAAUGAGAUCUAUGGGUGCAGCAGUUCGCAAGUCACCGACAAUGGUUGGCCGAUCAACCAGGGAUUUAGUACUUUGGAGCUUUUACAGAUUUCCUAAUUUGGUUGUAAAUAUUAGCUUAGACUUGUUUUGUCUGUUUUUUGUUAUUUCGGGUAUGGGCUUUGGUCUCUUUUGGGACAUUGCCCAUUACCAUUUGAACCUUUGUUUUCUGAUUUUCUAAUAAAUGGCAUGGCCCGUAUUUACUUUAAACUACCCUCCUUCAUCAUAAAAAAUAUUUCACUUUAUUCAAGAAUUGUGGUUUGGUUAUAAAAU